GGAGGAGUAGCGAAGUGGCUAAACGCAACGGACUGUAAAUCCGUUCCUUAGGGUUCAGUGGUUCGAAUCCACUCUCCUCCA
rnacentral:tRNA from 2 species